rnacentral:lncRNA from 1 species
GUCCUCCUAGGCUGAGGCUGGGCUCCGUGGGGAAACAGUCCUCCCCACCUUUGCUCUGGGAGCCCAGGUUGUGUGUGUGUGUCUUCCUGGAGAGGGGAGCGGAGCUUAUCUUUGCUGGGUGCCCUCCCGAUCUACAGAACCUGUAGCCCCUCCCACAAGCCUCCUGGCUCUAAGGGUCGGGGUCCCUGAACCGGAAGGGGAUGUUGGAGACAUGUAGUCGUUUGGGCUGCUGCUUCUCCGUGGGGUCGGAAGGGUGGAGUUGCUGGCUAUCUGUCUGUGCUGCUUCAUCUGCCUGCUGUGGAAAGAAGACUAGUGAUUUUAAAACCAAUGAUCUAUGAAGACCGUUGUGGCAGACCCAGGUGGAGCUGUAGGGAUCAUCACAGAUUGAUCGUCACACCCGUCACCGGGUGUGUACCCCAACAAUACACAGAAGUACUGAAAUACAAUAUUCACUGGAAACCGG